GAUGAACGCUGGCGGCGUGCCUAAUACAUGCAAGUCGAGCGAACAGACGAGGAGCUUGCUCCUCUGACGUUAGCGGCGGACGGGUGAGUAACACGUGGAUAACCUACCUAUAAGACUGGGAUAACUUCGGGAAACCGGAGCUAAUACCGGAUAAUAUAUUGAACCGCAUGGUUCAAUAGUGAAAGACGGUUUUGCUGUCACUUAUAGAUGGAUCCGCGCCGCAUUAGCUAGUUGGUAAGGUAACGGCUACCAAGGCAACGAUGCGUAGCCGACCUGAGAGGGUGAUCGGCCACACUGGAACUGAGACACGGUCCAGACUCCUACGGGAGGCAGCAGUAGGGAAUCUUCCGCAAUGGGCGAAAGCCUGACGGAGCAACGCCGCGUGAGUGAUGAAGGUCUUCGGAUCGUAAAACUCUGUUAUUAGGGAAGAACAAAUGUGUAAGUAACUGUGCACGUCUUGACGGUACCUAAUCAGAAAGCCACGGCUAACUACGUG
rnacentral:rRNA from 1 species